GUGGGGAAUUUUGGACAAUGGGCGAAAGCCUGAUCCAGCAAUGCCGCGUGUGUGAAGAAGGCCUUCGGGUUGUAAAGCACUUUUGUCCGGAAAGAAAUCCUUUGGGUUAAUACCUCGGAGGGAUGACGGUACCGGAAGAAUAAGGACCGGCUAACUACGUGCCAGCAGCCGCGGUAAUACGUAGGGUCCGAGCGUUAAUCGGAAUUACUGGGCGUAAAGCGUGCGCAGGCGGUUUUGUAAGACAGAUGUGAAAUCCCCGGGCUUAACCUGGGAAUUGCAUUUGUGACUGCAAGGCUAGAGUGUGUCAGAGGGGGGUAGAAUUCCACGUGUAGCAGUGAAAUGCGUAGAGAUGUGGAGGAAUACCGAUGGCGAAGGCAGCCCCCUGGGAUAACACUGACGCUCAUGCACGAAAGCGUGGGGAGCAAACAGGAUUAGAUACCCGGGUAGUCC
rnacentral:rRNA from 1 species